ensembl:lncRNA
ACACAGCCCGCAGGCGCGCGGCCAAAGCCAAACCUUCGCGCUGCCCCGGACGCCUGAUCAGUCCGCGCGCAUCCCCACAGCCGCCGAGGCCCCUGCAGCUCCAGCAGCCGGGCCACGAGCUGUGUGACCCGGUUCCGGUUACUUCACCCCUCCGUGCCUCAGUGACUACUCCUUUUCAAAAUGAUACUAAUCACACCCACCUGCCGAGUGGCAGGGAGAUUUCCGGGUACAGGGAAGGCACUCAGCCGGCCUGUUAGGGCUUCGGCGCGGGGCGUUCUUCCCCACUCUUGAGUUGGUGUAAAAGGCUAAAGUCCCAAGAGGCCGUGCAUUUUAACAAGGAGAGUCGAAAGCCAAGCUCCCCAGUGUAGAGGAAGAGCGGGUCAGUGGUAUGGACAGUGGAGGCUAAGAAGCUUGUUUUCGAUUCGAGGUUCCCCUCCACCGGUGCUAGAUCAGGAGAAACUAAGACGUCGGCUUAUUACAAGUAUUAGUUCUCCCGCUUCUUGCCUGCACCACCUCUCGUCCGAACUCUCUUUACUCUCCUAUCUAUUCUCGAGGGGCUGGCGUGGCGGGGACGCAUUUUCCCGGGUUCCCCGCCGAGGGAGAGCAGACGCAGGGGUCCGGCGGCUCCGGGCUGGGAGAACGCCUCCGCCGCCCUCGACUCAGGGCAGAAGCUCUGAGCAUCAGAGUGAGGGUCCUGCCUGCCCAGAAACUCUUCCAGCCAUUACAGGUUGAACCAAGCCGCUGAAUUGCUCUGGAAAGACUGACAGGAACUUUUUUUGUGCCUCAACAUUCUUCAGUGCCUCGACAACAGAAAACUAACAGAAAAAGAGGGCCAAGUCCAGGCUCUCAGGCCUACAGCAUUAGGGAGACCCGUAGGCCCAAGGGAGAGCACGGAGCACAGAGGAGUUCGAGUCACCGAAGGCGUCGCCGGGCUGCCCCGCGUGCGCCCAUCUCUCUGCGGCGGCACAGAGGCCCGGGCUGGGGAAGCGCGCUGCCAAGGUCACCAAGCGUCCGUGUUCGUGCGUUUUUCGCACAGACGAAGGGCAGCGCCCGCGUCCAGGCCUUGUAAGAGGUUAUUCCCCUGUUCGCCGGCAAUCUGCUUGUCCGGCGAGCUCCACUGUCAACGCGCACACGCGCUAGGCCGGGCGCGAACUAGUUGCCGAAGGGAAAGGAAGACGCAGGCCGCGAGGGUGAGGUCUGGGGCGGGUGGCGGGAUGCGCGGAGGGGCAGCGACCCCGAAUCCGGCAGGCGGGAGAGCGACGGUAGGCGCCGCGGCGAUGCGGACCCUCCUGC